UGAUCUUGGCUCAGGACGAACGCUGGCGGCGUGCCUAAUACAUGAAAGUGGAACGAACUCUGGUAUUGAUUGGUGGUUGCAUCAUGAUUUAGAUUUGAGUGAGUGGGGAACUGGUGAGUAAGAGGUGGGAAACGUGGGGAGAAGGGGGGGAUAAGACGUGGAAAGAGAUGGUAAUACGGGAUAACAAGUUGGACGGCAUGGUCGGAGUUUGAAAGAUGGGUUUGGCUAUGACUUUUGGAUGGUCGCGGGGGGUAUUAGCUAGAUGGUGGGGUAAGGGCUCAGCAUGGCAAUGAUACGUAGCUGACGUGAGAGGGUAAUCGGCGACAUUGGGACUGAGACACGGGCGAAAUUCUAGGGGAGGGAGCAGUAGUGAAUUUCCAAAUGGAGAAAGUCUGAUGGAGAAGGCCGCUGAUUUAAGAAUGGUUUCGUCUCGUUUUU
rnacentral:rRNA from 2 species